rnacentral:rRNA from 1 species
UAAAGUGUUCGCUCGUGGCACUUCAUUAGCUAACUUACUUUAAUUAUACAUGAUAUUUUAGGAGUUCCAGAGAGGAGUAGAUCCGGUUUAAUAUACUAAUUUAAUAUAGGUUGUUGGGCGUGUCAGGAUCUUGGGCUUGUUAUGUGUUUGAAGAUGGGCGGAAAUAACUAUCAACUUCAGUAAUUAAUAUUAAUCGAUCAUGGAAACAUGGAAUAAGUAAUUGUUUUUAGAAGAGAGUAACGCUGUGCCAGCACUCGCGGUUAGUCAUCGUCUUCAAGUUAAUGAGUUUGUAUGGUAGUAAGAUUUAAAAAUGUUUAUGUUUAAUUGGAAAAUGUAUCGGUGAAAUGAAGCAUUCGUUUGGUUCUAUGGUAAAAUAAUUAUUAAAACUUAAAGUAGUUGUUAUUAUUUUUGGUUUAUUUUACUUAUUUACUCAGGGCUAACUUCAUAUGAAUUUGUGUUUUUACAAAAUCAAAACUAAUAAGGCUGUCAUAAGAAACAAGGAUUAGAGACCCUUUUAUUUAAGCUGUCUGAAAAACAUGCGGGGACUACGAAGGAAACGUUUAAAACUCAAACGAGUUGGCGGUGUUUUAUAACCAUUUAGGGGAACUUGGCGUUUAAAUCGAUGAGCCUCGAAAAUUUUACCUUUAGUUUUCUUUACAUACCGCCGUUGUUAGUUAGUUUUUAAGAAAACGUACCUACGUAAAACGAGAUUUUAUUUCAAUAAAAUUAUAGUUCGUUUGAAUUCAGGUAAACGUGUAGGGAUCUAGAGGGAUUAGCUGAGUUACAAUUAUGAAGUAGGGGAAUUACGGAUCUUAGUGAAACGGUUGAAAUAUCAAGUGAAGUAGUACUUGUUAGUAAAAUUUUUAAAAUAAGGAAAUUUGAAUGGAGUAAGUAAAACGCGUACAAAUCGCCCGGCACCCUCUUCAAGACAUACGGUUGUUUAGAAUAGGUAAGUCGUAACAUAGUAAUGCUAGUAGAAACUGGUGUUGAUGA